rnacentral:rRNA from 1 species
AGGACGAACGCUGGCGGCGUGCCUAACACAUGCAAGUCGAACGGGGGUAGCAAUACCCCAGUGGCGAACGGGUGCGUAACACGUGAAGAACUUGUCCAUCGGCGGGGGAUAGCCGGCCCAACGGCCGGGUAAUACCGCGUACGCCGUCUGAAGCGCAUGCUUCGGCCGGGAAAGCAGCAAUGCACCGAUGGAGAGCUUCGCGGCCUAUCAGCUAGUUGGCGGGGUAAUGGCCCACCAAGGCAACGACGGGUAGCUGGUCUGAGAGGAUGACCAGCCACAUUGGGACUGAGACACGGCCCAGACUCCUACGGGAGGCAGCAGUGGGGAAUAUUGCGCAAUGGGGGAAACCCUGACGCAGCGACGCCGCGUGUGGGAUGACGGCCUUCGGGUUGUAACCACUGUCGCGAGGGACGAAAAAUAGACGGUACCUCGAAGGAAGCACCGGCUAACUCUGCGCCAGCAGCCGC